rnacentral:tRNA from 1 species
GGGGCUGUGGCUCAGGGGUAGAGCACUUGCCUAGCAUGUGCAAGGAACUAGGUUCAAUUCUCAGCACCA